AUAAGGGCUAUGAAGGGAAGGAGUAAAUAUAUUCAUACAUUAAGAGAGGAAGUGGACGGUGAAAACUUCUUGGUGAAUAUUUUGAAGCAGUCCCUGAGCUAUAGUUGUAAAGUGAUAUAGCAGUAAUAAUUGUUUUAAGGCUAUAUAAUUAGGGUGGUACCGCGGAAACUUUCGUCCCUUUU
rnacentral:ncRNA from 1 species